rnacentral:rRNA from 1 species
GACGAACGCUGGCGGCGUGCUUAACACAUGCAAGUCGAACGCAGUGGCGAACGGGUGAGUAACGCGUAAUCACCCUGCCCUUCAGAGGGGGAUAACAGUUGGACACUACUGCUAAUACCGCAUACUGCAGUAGGGGAUUGCGUGUGAUUAGCUAGUUGGAGGGGUAACGUCCCACCAAGGCGACGAUCAGUAGAGGGGCUGAGAGGAUGAUCCGCCACACUGGGACUGAGACACGGCCAAGACUCCUACGGGAGGCAGCAGUGGGGAAGUUUGGACAAUGGGCGAAAGCCUGACCCAGCCAUGCCGCGUGGCUGAAGAAGGCCUUCGGGUUGUAAAGGACUUUUGUCAGGGAAGCGGUACCUAAAGAGUAAGCACCGGCUAACUACGUGCCAGCAGCCGCGGUAAUUC